rnacentral:lncRNA from 1 species
GUGCUAUUAGAUACAAUAAUAUUUUAUGUUAGUUUUGACAAUAAAUAUAGAUUGUAAAAACAAAUGACAAAUUGAAUUAUAAAAAUAAUACUUUAAAUGCAUUCCACAUGGUAUCAAAGUGUUUUUGUCUCUUAUUUUUGACUGCCAUUAUUUUUUCUAAAUUGUACAUAUAUUUUAACUUUUCUUUAAUGGCACUGACUGAAAGAUCUUUUGAAAAACAUCUACUGUUGUAUAUAUAUUGUUUCAUGUAUAGAAAAAUCAAAUUAUAUGGGUCACCUUUUCGAACUUUUGAUAUAUCUCCAAAAAUAAAAUUCAACUUAUUCAAUGGCAGGCUUACCCCACCAGAUAAGAACCAAUAAUCUACAUCUUGUAAAAAAUUUUGGAUAAUCUCACAAUUCCACAGAAUAUGUUCAACAGUUUCAUCUUCUAAUUUACAAAAAGUACAUAGAGGGUUAUCGAUAAGUUUGAUUUUACAUAAAAAUUUAUUUGUGGCAAGAAUUCUAUGGUUGAUUCUGUACUGAAGCCACUGUAGUUUUGUAUUGACAGUGACUGUAAAAGGUAGUUUGAAUAUAUGUUUCCAAAUAAGAUCUUCACCUAAUAUUUCACUCCACUUCAGUUGUCCUGUUGGAGUCACCUUGUUACUUAUGAGUAUUUUGUACAUAUCUUUAGUACCUUUUCUACUUUUAAAAAAGACUUGUAAGCAAGCUGGAAUAAAUGGACAACAUAACUUAUAUGAACCUUUUUUGUAAUUGUUUGCUGCUUUUUUAAUAGCAGAAAUAACACUCAUGUAAUUCAGAAAAUUUACAUUGAU